UACGAAGGGGGGCUAGCGUUGCUCGGAAUCACUGGGCGUAAAGGGUGCGUAGGCGGGUUUUUAAGUCAGGGGUGAAGUCCUGGAGCUCAACUCCAGAACUGCCUUUGAUACUGAAGAUCUUGAGUCCGGGAGAGGUGAGUGGAACUGCGAGUGUAGAGGUGAAAUUCGUAGAUAUUCGCAAGAACACCAGUGGCGAAGGCGGCUCACUGGCCCGGUACUGACGCUGAGGCACGAAAGCGUGGGGAGCAAACAGG
rnacentral:rRNA from 1 species